CCUACGGGAGGCAGCAGUGAGGAAUAUUGGUCAAUGGGCGCGAGCCUGAACCAGCCAAGUCGCGUGAAGGAUGACUGCCCUACGGGUUGUAAACUUCUUUUAUCAAGGAAUAAAGUGAGGCACGUGUGCCUUUUUGUGUGUACUUUAUGAAUAAGGAUCGGCUAACUCCGUGCCAGCAGCCGCGGUAAUACGGAGGAUCCGAGCGUUAUCCGGAUUUAUUGGGUUUAAAGGGUGCGUAGAUGGGUUGUUAAGUCAGGUGUGAAAGUUUGCGGCUCAACCGUAAAAUUGCAUUUGAUACUGGCAGCCUUGAGUAGAGUAGAGGUAGGCGGAAUGCGUGGUGUAGCGGUGAAAUGCUUAGAUAUCACGAAGAACUCCGAUUGCGAAGGCAGCUUACUAGACUGCCACUGACAUUGAUGCACGAAAGUGUGGGUAUCAAACAGGAUUAGAUACCCCAGUAGUC
rnacentral:rRNA from 1 species